AAUACCGCAUAAGCGCACAGAGCCGCAUGGCUCAGUGUGAAAAACUCCGGUGGUGUAAGAUGGAUCCGCGUCUGAUUAGCUGGUUGGCGGGGUAGAAGCCCACCAAGGCGACGAUCAGUAGCCGGCCUGAGAGGGUGAACGGCCACAUUGGGACUGAGACACGGCCCAAACUCCUACGGGAGGCAGCAGUGGGGAAUAUUGCACAAUGGGGGAAACCCUGAUGCAGCAACGCCGCGUGAGUGAAGAAGUCAUUCGUGAUGUAAAGCUCUAUCAGCAGGGAAGAAAAUGACGGUACCUGAGUAAGAAGCCCCGGCUAACUACGUGCCAGCAGCCGCGGUAAUACGUAGGGGGCAAGCGUUAUCCGGAUUUACUGGGUGUAAAGGGAGCGUAGACGGCCAGACAAGUCUGAAGUGAAAAUCCAGCGCUUAACGUUGGAAGUGCUUUGGAAACUGCCGGGCUAGAGUGCAGGAGGGGCAGGCGGAAUUCCUAGUGUAGCGGUGAAAUGCGUAGAUAUUAGGAGGAACACCAGUGGCGAAGGCGGCCUGCUGGACUGCAACUGACGUUGAGGCUCGAAGGCGUGGGGAGCAAAAGGGAUUAGAUACCCUGGUAGUCCACGCGGUAAACGAUGAAUACUAGGUGUCGGGGGGCUAGAGCCCUUCGGUGCCGUCGC
rnacentral:rRNA from 1 species